rnacentral:rRNA from 1 species
GAUGAACGCUGGCGGCGUGCCUAAUACAUGCAAGUCGAGCGAACAGACGAGGAGCUUGCUCCUUCGACGUUAGCGGCGGACGGGUGAGUAACACGUAGGUAACCUACCUAUAAGACUGGGAUAACUUCGGGAAACCGGAGCUAAUACCGGAUAAUAUUUCGAACCGCAUGGUUCGAUAGUGAAAGAUGGCUUUGCUAUCACUUAUAGAUGGACCUGCGCCGUAUUAGCUAGUUGGUAAGGUAACGGCUUACCAAGGCAACGAUACGUAGCCGACCUGAGAGGGUGAUCGGCCACACUGGAACUGAGACACGGUCCAGACUCCUACGGGAGGCAGCAGUAGGGAAUCUUCCGCAAUGGGCGAAAGCCUGACGGAGCAACGCCGCGUGAGUGAUGAAGGUCUUCGGAUCGUAAAACUCUGAUAUUAGGGAAGAACAAACGUGUAAGUAACUGUGCACGUCUUGACGGUACCUAAUCAGAAAGCCACGGCUAACUACGUG